AGACUGUAUUCUGACGCUUUUGGAAGCAUACAGAUUUGUUUCUUUUAGGUCUGCAGUUCCGCUUUCAGCUUCUAAGCAGGAAUGUAGGGAAGGAGGGGCCUCUCACCCCUCGUGAUCUUGAUGGUACUAGUCAUCCAAGGAUGAACUGCGGAGUUCCAGGCAAGAGGAAGUGCUUGGUUCACCUGGAUGUUUUAUAGAGAACCAACCACUCAGGGUCAGUCACCUGACUGAAAAAAAAAAAAAAAAAACUGUUGUGGGACAGAGGGAAGUUGGCUGUUUAUAUACAUUUAUCGAUUAUCUCAACAAGCUCCACCUGUGCUGAAUUAGUUGAUUAUCUGAAUGUGCUCCUCCCGAACCUUUUUAAUGCAACAUCAUAUGUUGCAUUGCGUAAAAUACAUUCAUUUACAGCAUAAGACUUUACAGAUGAAAUAAAUUGUAUACAAACUUUUUCUUUUACAGAAGAAGUGCACUAAUUAGGCGGCACUGCGAACCUCUCUCUCCUGAAGAGGAUGCAAAAAGCCGCUCUCUGACUGUAACUCAACAGCUGCAAUGAAGUAACCCCAUGCUGAGUUGUUUUGUCAUAGGGAGGGGUGUAUAGUUUUAGCUGUCCGUUAGAUUGAUCCAGCCACUAACCCAAAGGUUGGGUAACACCAAAACUACCCAACACUGGGAAAAACAACCCAACAGGCUCAACCCAGCGGUUGGGUAGAAAAAAAAAAAACCCAGCAGUGCAGCCGCAAAUAGCUUUCUGCUUUGACAUACAUUAAAACGUAGUCGAGAAUUCUACGUAAAUAAAAUAUACACAAUAAUUGUAUACUAAAUGUAUAAAAUUAAAUACUUCAUUAAGGAAACAGUAUUUAUAUGUUUAGUUAGGAACAAUUAUGUAGAAUUUCAAAGUGUUCAUGGGCUUUUGGUGUAUAUAGAAAUAGCGG
ensembl:lncRNA